ACAGAUGGGAGCUUGCUCCCUGAUGUUAGCGGCGGACGGGUGAGUAACACGUGGGUAACCUGCCUGUAAGACUGGGAUAACUCCGGGAAACCGGGGCUAAUACCGGAUGGUUGUCUGAACCGCAUGGUUCAGACAUAAAAGGUGGCUUCGGCUACCACUUACAGAUGGACCCGCGGCGCAUUAGCUAGUUGGUGAGGUAACGGCUCACCAAGGCGACGAUGCGUAGCCGACCUGAGAGGGUGAUCGGCCACACUGGGACUGAGACACGGCCCAGACUCCUACGGGAGGCAGCAGUAGGGAAUCUUCCGCAAUGGACGAAAGUCUGACGGAGCAACGCCGCGUGAGUGAUGAAGGUUUUCGGAUCGUAAAGCUCUGUUGUUAGGGAAGAACAAGUGCCGUUCAAAUAGGGCGGCACCUUGACGGUACCUAACCAGAAAGCCACGGCUAACUACGUGCCAGCAGCCGCGGUAAUACGUAGGUGGCAAGCGUUGUCCGGAAUUAUUGGGCGUAAAGGGCUCGCAGGCGGUUUCUUAAGUCUGAUGUGAAAGCCCCCGGCUCAACCGGGGAGGGUCAUUGGAAACUGGGGAACUUGAGUGCAGAAGAGGAGAGUGGAAUUCCACGUGUAGCGGUGAAAUGCGUAGAGAUGUGGAGGAACACCAGUGGCGAAGGCGACUCUCUGGUCUGUAACUGACGCUGAGGAGCGAAAGCGUGGGGAGCGAACAGGAUUAGAUACCCUGGUAGUCCACGCCGUAAACGAUGAGUGCUAAGGGGUUAGGGGGUUUCCGCCCCUUAGUGCUGCAGCUAACGCAUAAGCACUCCGCCUGGGGGAGUACGGUCGCAGACUGAACUCAAGGAAAUUGA
rnacentral:rRNA from 1 species